GACGAACGCUGGCGGCGUGCUUAAUACAUGCAAGUCGAACGGAAAGGCCCUGCUCUUGCGGGGCGCUCGAGUGGCGAACGGGUGAGUAACACGUGAGUAACCUGCCCUUGACUUUGGGAUAACUCCAGGAAACAGGGGCUCUUACCGGAUAGGAGCUCCUGCUGCACGGUGGGGGUUGGUAAGAUUCGGCGGUUGGGGAUGGACUCGCGGCUUAUCCGCUUGUUUGUGAGGUAGGGGCUUACCAGGGCUUUGACGGGUAGCCCGCCUGGGAGGCGGGCCGGCCACAAGAGGACUGAGGUAGGGACCAGACGCCAACGGGAGGCAGCAGUGGGGAAUAUUGCGCAGUGGGCGGGAGCCUGAUGCAGCAGCGCCGCGAGCGUGAAGACGGGCUUCGGGUUAUGAACCGCUGUCGACGUUGCCAUAGCGUGAGUGACGGUAAUGGGUAAAGAAGCACCGGCUAACUACGUG
rnacentral:rRNA from 1 species